rnacentral:rRNA from 1 species
UACGUAGGGGGCAAGCGUUGUCCGGAUUUACUGGGCGUAAAGAGCGCGUAGGCGGAAGCUUAAGUGUGGCCUGAAAGCCCCCGGCUCAACCGGGGAAGGUGGCUGCAAACUGGGCUUCUUGAGGGGGAUAGGGGAAAGUGGAAUUCCGGGUGUAGCGGUGAAAUGCGUAGAGAUCCGGAGGAACACCAGUGGCGAAGGCGGCUUCCUGGCCUGUUCUUGACGCUGAGGCGCGAAAGCUAGGGUAGCAAACGGG